UGCCGCGUGUGUGAAGAAGGUCCUUCAUGGUUGUAAAGCACUUUAAGCGAGGAGGAGGCUACUUUAGUUAAUACCUAGAGAUAGUGGACGUUACUCGCAAAAUAAGCACCGGCUAACUCUGUGCCAGCACCCGCGGUAAUACAAAGGGUGCGAGCGUUAAUCGGAUUUACUGGGCGUAAAGCGUGCGUAGGCGGCUUAUUAAUUCGGAUGUGAAAUCCCCGAGCUUAACUUGGGAAUUGCAUUCAAUACUGGUGAGCUAGAGUAUGGGAGAGGAUGGUAAAAUUCCAGGUGUAGCGGUGAAAUGCGUAAAGAUCUGGAGGAAUACCGAUGGCGAAGGCAGCCAUCUGGCCUAAUACUGACGCUGAGGUACGAAAGCAUGGGGAGCAAACAGGAUUAGAUACCCUGGUAGUCCAUGCCGUAAACGAUGUCUACUAGCCUUUGGGGCCUUUGAGGCUUUAGUGGCGCAUCUAACGCGAUAAGUACACCGCCGGGGGAGUACGGUCGCAAGACUAAAACUCAAAUGAAUUGACGGGGGCCCGCACAAGCGGUGGAGCAUGUGGUUUAAUUCGAUGCAACGCGAAGAACCUUACCUGGCCUUGACAUACUAAAAACUUUCCAGAGAUGGAUUG
rnacentral:rRNA from 1 species